rnacentral:rRNA from 1 species
GCUGACUGUACAUGCAGUCGAGCGGACAGAAGAGAGCUUGCUCCCGGAUGUUAGCGGCGGACGGGUGAGUAACACGUGGGUAACCUGCCUGUAAGACUGGGAUAACUCCGGGAAACCGGAGCUAAUACCGGAUAGUUCCUUGAACCGCAUGGUUCAAGGAUGAAAGACGGUUUCGGCUGUCACUUACAGAUGGACCCGCGGCGCAUUAGCUAGUUGGUGGGGUAAUGGCUCACCAAGGCGACGAUGCGUAGCCGACCUGAGAGGGUGAUCGGCCACACUGGGACUGAGACACGCGCCCAGACUCCUACGGGAGGCAGCAGUAGGGAAUCUUCCGCAAUGGACGAAAGUCUGACGGAGCAACGCCGCGUGAGUGAUGAAGGUUUUCGGAUCGUAAAGCUCUGUUGUUAGGGAAGAACAAGUGCGAGAGUAACUGCUCGCACCUUGACGGUACCUAACCAGAAAGCCACGGCUAACUACGUGCCAGCAGCCGCGGUAAUACGUAGGUGGCAAGCGUUGUCCGGAAUUAUUGGGCGUAAAGGGCUCGCAGGCGGUUUCUUAAGUCUGAUGUGAAAGCCCCCGGCUCAACCGGGGAGGGUCAUUGGAAACUGGGAAACUUGAGUGCAGAAGAGGAGAGUGGAAUUCCACGUGUAGCGGUGAAAUGCGUAGAGAUGUGGAGGAACACCAGUGGCGAAGGCGACUCUCUGGUCUGUAACUGACGCUGAGGAGCGAAAGCGUGGGGAGCGAACAGGAUAAGAUACCCUGGUAGUCCACGCCGUAAACGAUGAGGUGCUAAGUGUUAGGGGGUUUCCGCCCCUUAGUGCUGCAGCUAACGCAUUAAGCACUCCGCCUGGGGAGUACGGUCGCAAGACUGAAACUCAAAGGAAUUGACGGGGGCCCGCACAAGCGGUGGAGCAUGUGGUUUAAUUCGAAGCAACGCGAAGAACCUACCAGGUCUUGACAUCCUCUGACAACCCUAGAGAUAGGGCUUUCCCUUCGGGGACAGAGUGACAGGUGGUGCAUGGUUGUCGUCAGCUCGUGUCGUGAGAUGUUGGGUUAAGUCCCGCAACGAGCGCAACCCUUGAUCUUAGUUGCCAGCAUUCAGUUGGGCACUCUAAGGUGACUGCCGGUGACAAACCGGAGGAAGGUGGGGAUGACGUCAAAUCAUCAUGCCCCUUAUGACCUGGGCUACACACGUGCUACAAUGGACAGAACAAAGGGCUGCAAGACCGCAAGGUUUAGCCAAUCCCAUAAAUCUGUUCUCAGUUCGGAUCGCAGUCUGCAACUCGACUGCGUGAAGCUGGAAUCGCUAGUAAUCGCGGAUCAGCAUGCCGCGGUGAAUACGUUCCCGGCCCUUGUACACACCGCCCGUCACACCACGAGAGUUUGCAACACCCGAAGUCGGUGAGGUAACCUUUAUGGAGCCAGUA